rnacentral:lncRNA from 1 species
CUUUUCCCCAGGUUUGAUUCAACGUGCUGUUCACAAAAAAGAUAACUAGCCACAAAUUAGUCAAGCUGAAGUUUGAUGCGCUUUGCUACAGGGCAAAAAAUUUUUUUUGUUGUUACCAGUUUCAGAUGACUGAUUGCUCCUGUGAAACUCGCAAGUGCUUCUUGCAUGUUGUUUCUUUUCCUCCAUGACUACCAAAAGGGCUUUUAUUCAAAUGAGGCAGAGCCUGCAAGCACGGGGCACUCUGUGAGCAGCUAGCAGGAAGGGCUCAGAUGGGUGUGCUUUGGUUGCACGUUUUUCCUCGCUUUCCUUUGAACCAAGCUGCCCGGUGUUUUCCGACGACGGCUGGCUCUCUGCUACAGGCGCUGGGUAGUGCUGACACAUACAGGACUUAGCUGGAAAGAGAGAGAGGAGCAGAAGACAGAAAUCACUUCCUGUGCACGCAGGCUUGUCUUUUUCUGUCUAAUGUCAGGAACCCGUCAGAGCUCCUUCCCAGAGAAACUCCCUGGGUCGUGUCUGAGCGACUUCAGGGGUGAGACAAGUCGCCUGCGGUUAGGGAGAUGCAGAGAGCAGUGGGUUCAUUCUUCAAAAGCUUCACAAAGUCAUGGGCAGGCGUUUCAGCUCCAGCCUUGCCUUGUGACCUUCAAGACCACACGUAAGCAAGCCUGCAGCAUGCAGGGCUUUUUCUUGCAGCCGGGCUCUUGCUGUGCACAUGGGCAUUAGGCUGCUGUCGGCCGGAGCAGGCAGCAUUUCAUUCCCAGCUUGCACAGGUGUGAAAGCCCUGCUCUCUUUGGUUAGCUUACCCAGGGGGUGUUACUUUGUGGAGAGGGGUUAUUACCGCUCCGCUUUUGUUCUUUGCCAUUGGUUCUGCCUUAUUUUUAUGUGGAUUAACUGUUAAUAAUAAUGGGGAGCGUUAAGCUUUAGCAAACAGCUGAGCUCUGCACAAAUCCAAGGAAAAUGCAGCCGAGGCCACGCAGGAGCCCCAGCGAGCCGAGCCCCCAGCCGGAUCCAUCACAAGAGGUGCAAAGAGCAGGCAAGCACGUGCCAGCUCCUCGUGGACCUGGGCAUCCCCCAGUGCUGCCCUGUGGACUUCUUCCACUCCCCCUGCCCCUCACCAUCACCCAGGGAUCCUGCCCGGUGUGGAUGGAGGGGGAGAAGCACGAGGAGAGCUGGCCUUGCCCCUGGAUGCGGCCGUGGAGGGAGGCACCGGCAUGGGAAUGCGGAUGGACAGGCAGAGCCAACAGGAAUCCUGCUGCACAAAGGCUGAGCAAAGCAAAGACGGAAAGAUCUGGUGCUCGGAGCAGCAACACUUUCAUUUACCGAAACCUCAUGCGUGCAGAAGGUGGAAUUAAUUUAAUUGCAAAUAAAUGUCAAGAAAUAAAUUAACGGAACAGUGCUAAAUUUUGCAACGACGAUAUGUUAUGGGUAAGAUAUUCUUUUGUGUCAGUCAUCUUAAAGAGAGUGAGACAAAGGAAACAGGGUAGGGGGAAAAAGGCUGUACUGAAAGCACAUAGAGAAAUCAAACACAGGAAAACUGUUGGGGACUUAAUCGUGCUAGAGGUAAAUUGGCCACUAUUCUUUCUAUCAGAAAGAGACGAGAGUAUUUGAUUAAGUUAAACAGGAGCCAUUUCUUUGUUCCUGAGAACAGAGAAAGAAGCAUUACAACCAGACAACUGAGACAGGGAAUCCAGGAAAAAAAUCUAUUAAAGAGAUAACAAAAGAGAAAAACACUUAUACUAAUUCUGUCAAAAUUCAUAAAGCAUCCUGAGAGGUUUAUAAACGUGGCAUUCACCAUGGGCACACAGAGAAUAGACUACAGCGGAAUAUUUGAGGUAGGUCCAAAGGACUGGUGAUUUCUUGCCAUUUUUAAAAGUUGAAGGCCCAGUAAUGCCUAAGAAAUAAGCUGCGCAACUAAAUCUUCUGAAGACCAAUAAAAAAGCACAGCUGUGUGGAUCUGAAAUUAAA